CACAGUUCUCGUUUAGUUCAUCACUAAAAGUACAGGAAGGAGUCUCUUUCUUCUUGAUCAUCUUCUUGCUAUUCCUUGAAAGAGAGCUCGUGAAGUGCACUUUCCUUUCUUAGGAUAACAGGAUUCGACAAAUUUAUUUGUUGAGAGUCACUUUGCAACUUUUUUUCCUUUUUUACCACAUUGCUGACCCGUCCUUUACAAGGAGAGGUCGCAAUAUCCUUAGUUUUCUUGCUGGUCGGAAGCUUACUGCCUUGCUCUAAUGUCAGCUGCCCUAUAUCACCUGGGCUUACUAUAAUAUGAGUGCUACAUCGGGCUCCGCGCCUGUGUCUUCGGGGGGCGACAAGGAAGUCACAUCUUCAAGCUCCGGGAAUUGGCGGGGGUUUCUGAACUUGGCGUCGGAUAGGGAGGGAGAUUCCAC
rnacentral:lncRNA from 1 species